UCGCCUGUUUAUCAAAAACAUAACUAUAGGUAGGUAUCCAUAGCGAUUUCUGCUCCAUGUGAAAAUAAAUAGCCGCAGUACCCUGACUGUGCUAAGGUAGCAUAAUCAAUAGGCUUAUAAUUUAAGUCUGGUAUGAAGGAAGAUUUGGGGGUUUCCUGUCUCACCUGAAGUAGAUGGAAUUUUUUUAAAAAGUGCAAAAACUUUUAGAUAAUCAUUAGACGAGAAGACCCUAGAAAUUUUUUAACAUAUUUUGUUGGGGCGACAAAGUAACAAUUAACUUACUUAUAUUUAUCUGAAGUGGAUAUACAGAAUGUAAAAAUUACUCUAGGGAUAACAGCAUAAUUUCUGCGAAGUUUGUGACCUCGAUGUUGGACUAGGUAUUAUUAAGUUUAGAAGAUUUA
rnacentral:rRNA from 1 species